rnacentral:lncRNA from 1 species
UAAGCUUCAGUGGCGCUGGAAGGACAAACAUACCAUCAUCCCCACCUAUUCUCCCUGGUGACUGGACAAAGUUACUUUCUGCCGAGAAUUCGUCACCUUCCUUUCCUUUUUGAGGACUACUUACAAAUAAGUUUUUGACUUGAUGUAAGCUGAAGGUGUUGCCCAUCAGUUUCUCCCAACGAUCAUUCACUGGAUUUUAUACAACAUCCACCUUUGGAAUUUGACUGAACUUGCUGUUUUGCGCGGCACGGUUCAAGACGGUCAUUUUGGUUGCACAGGAAAUUUCGAAACCGCGUGGAAUAAAAUUAGCAACCUAGUUCUAGCAGUGCCAAUGUUUCAGAAACCCAUUUCAUUUCUACCGUCUUCUAAGCAGUACAUUUUAUUUGGUUAUAUAGCUUAUAGGGCAUAUAAUCUGCAUAAAGGAGGCAAUGACCUGCUUCUUAAUUCACAAGGCAUUGUGCGAACCUGAAAUUUGGUGUGGUUACUAUUGAUCAGUCUUUCUUGUGCUGGAAUGUGAAAAGUAGCUCUCUACGCUGGCCUAUUGAAGCACAUGCUGCUGAAAAGUAGACUUGGAGUUAGCUCUACUAGGAGGGGGUAUGUUUGAAUGGUGUCCAAUACUUCUGUAGUCAUGGUCAGGUUGGUGUUUGUCUAGAUGGUUGCCAAUAUUUUGGUCUGCCAAUGACAAUUUGGCAACUCAACUUCAUUUUUCUAGCCAAUGUUAGUCAAGCCAUGGGUAAAUAUAAGCCUGACCAAAAUAUUGGCUAGCCAAAUUUUUAUUAGAGCUAUCUUGGGCUCAAACUAAACACCCAUGUGACAUGAGUAGAUGAACGCCCUGAGUGGGUUAGCCAAAUAUUGACUUGAUCAAUACAAUCGGACAACCUCUUGCAUUGAUAAUGAACGGUCACAUUGUUGAGUAGUACUCUUCAGUUAUCGAACAAUGUCAUUUGACUUGUACCAACCGAGGUAUCAAGCUUCAGUUAUCGAACAAUGUCAUUUGACUUGUACCAACCGAGGUAUCAAGCGAUCCAUUCAUCCAAGCAAGGCACAAAGCAAUGUCCUCUUGGCUACGGUAGUUCGUUGAACUUGCCUUCUUGAUGCUUGUUUGUGUCUCCACAAGAUCACCGACCUCCUCAACUUGGGAUCAUCCUCCCUCGCACGACCAUGGACAUCUUUAUGUCAUCGAGGCAAAGUAUGUGUGAUUCAUCCAACUGAUACAUGAAACUUGCAUCAUCAUAUUCAUCCACGCUACAAUCACCAAGAACAAACACAUCACACGAUCAUCACCGCAUUGCAUCACCAAAAUCCCUAGCUAAAAAAUGAAAAAUGCUUUUGUUCCUUUCAGGCAUUGCGUUAGACACUUGGUGGGCAUGAUCCUCGUCGACAGUUGCGAUGGUCGUAGGUGGCAGCGGAUAAGGUGAUGGAGUGGCCGAAGAUGGAGGAGAAGACGUCGGAGUCGGCGAACGUGGAGAAGGCGUCAAAGUGGGUGACUUAUUCCUCUUCUUCGUUGUUGCCUCGUUGUGGGCCUUGGCCACCAGCGCUGGUUUUCUCGUUUGCUUGCUGUCGGUAGGAGAAACUGGUGGGCGGGUGGUCGUCUUCAUGGAUGACACGGCCUUGCCGCCGGCCUUCGUGGACAGCGCGACAGAGCGCACGAUGGUCUUCAUCCCGAGCCACUUCCUUGCCAUGGGCGGCGGAGGCAGUCAGUGUUUUAACUCCCGUCAAAAUCGGGUCCUCCGAUGGCUGCGGUGGUGACAUUCGGCAGCAGAGGCAGGAAGAGGGGCAUCAUGGGGGGAGAGAGGAGGGAAUAUUUUGCUAAGAAGUGGUGGCAGAUGCUCAAAAUUGAGAGAGUGGGGGAGGUUUUUUGGCUUACCUUUUAGGAGUUAAUAGUUUGAGGAGUUCGGUUAGGUGCGGCUUAACUCCUCAAAACAGAAUCUUUCAAGGAGUUAGCCGUUUUUGAGAGUUUGGCUAGAGAUGCUCUAACAACCUAAAGUUGUCUAAAGCUUCAAAUUAAACCAUUUACUAGAAAGGAAAAAGGGGUAGGAGCUGAGCGCCUAAGCCAUUCCUCUCAAGAUGUUGCUCUCUAUUGUACGGUUGUACAAUUACUCUGAAGUGGUAAGUUGAUGAUAUGACUUUAGGGGAGAUCAAGCUUUGUGUAGUGUUACUUUGUCUAUAGCUCUUGCAUACAGUGCAAGAAACCCAACGGGAACAAGCUCUUGAGAUUGUCUGAGUUGUUACUCUCUUAGAUCCGUUCCAUUUUAUUGUGUUCUUUGGAGACGCUUGUGAGUUUUUUUUCUUUUGGCGUUGAGAUGCUUGUGAGUUCAUUAUGAGUUUCUAGACCGGUAAGUGAUAUUUUAAAGAGUUUUCACUCAUAUUUGUAAGCUGAUGUUGCUUACGACUGUUUAUUCCCAUUUCUAGAACAACCUAGCUCUAGUAAGGUCAUAUUUUGGAAGCUCGUUAAUUGGAUUUGAUAAUGGAGCAUACAUGCAGAACAUUCUUCUGUGCAGCAAAGUGCGCUAAAAAAAUAGAUCUUGGAAAAAAAUGUGUACCCUCACAAGGCAAAUUAUAGAGCACUAAAACUUAUUUCCUUUACACGUUGCCGAAAAUGACUCUCUCAUGAACACAUUAGACUCGAUUGAUAUGACUAUUCGUUUGUCAACAUUUAUUCUAAACAUCUAGUUGUCCAAGUAUUCUCCAUGUUCUCUCACACUAAUUGCUACACAUACUUCAUUCAUCAAAAUUCAAAAUAAAAGAUAAUAUGUGGUGAUGUGGUCACGUACUGAAAAUCAUUGACGCAUAGUCAUGGCGAACAUCCAAUUCUAAGCCCGGGCUUAUCUGCAUCAGGUGAACAGUGAAUUACAAAAAAUACUAGGAAUAUUAAAAAACUGUUUUUUUUCAUAAAAGAUAUUUUGGUGUGUGAGGUGCGUGCCAAAUUUCAAAGCAUUUGGGCAUCUAAGUAGAUCUUAGAAAAAAAAUGAGUCCAAACCGUAAACUUUUCCACGGACCCGAAAUUUGUCUUUUUGCUGAGAGCUACUCGGACAUUCAAAUGCUCUGAAAUUUGGCAGGGACAUCACGCACUCAAUCAUCUUUCGUCACAAAAAAAAAAUCAGAUUUUGUAAAAUUUAAUCUGUAUUAUAACGAUUUUUUUGUUCACUCAGGAACUCAUAUUUUUUUCGUUUUUUCAAAAAGGGGUCACCCCGGCCUCUGCAUCUGAACGAUGCAUAUGGCCAACUUAAUUAAAAAUUAAAUAGGUUCAACAAAUGUCAUAAAGUCUGAACGAAAGCAAAGAAAAGCUCACAGAGAGCCAAAUAAAAGCAGACAUGAAGCCACAACCGGCUGGUGAAAGAAAGAUAGGCAAACUAAUUGCCUAUCCUAUUACAUGACCGCCAUCCAAACCGGUUGAAUAUAUCUCGAGCUACCAUCUCCCACUGGAUAGAUCCAGUAACCAAACGCUCCCUGGCCUCCGUCGGAGUGAAUAGCGACCACAUACGGAUCAACGCAGUGGCUCGGAAGAUAACCUGCAAAAAAUGAAUAUUUGUUGUUCUGUUAAAAAUCAAAUCAUUUCUGCAGUUCCAGACUGCCCACAAUAAAGCACAUGCUCCUACUCGAAUGUGUCCUGCUGUUUCAGACUCUAUCCCGUUAAGCCACGUCCCAUAUAACGUGCUGACAGAGUUCGGAGGAUUAAUGUUAAAGGCAAUGUGUACCGUUCGCCAUAGUACUUUUGCCAACGGGCAAUCAAGAAAGAGGUGUUUGAUAGUUUCAUCCCGAUCACAAAAACUGCAUCUAGUAGGUCCUGUCCAGUUACGCUUUAUCAGAUUGUCCUUAGUUAAAAUGACUUGUUUAUGGACAAACCACAUAAACACCUUAACUUUCAAAGGAACUAUAACUUUCCAAACAUAUUUGGAACUAGGAAUGGAGUUAGUAUUGAUAACAUCGAGAUACAUCGAUUUAAUUGUGAACUCUCUAAUCCUAGUAAGCUUCCAGCGUAGCUGAUCGGGCUGUUGAGACAACUGGACCUCCAUCAGUCUACUCACUAAAUGAAGCCAAGCUUCCCAAUGAUUUCCGACAAGCGUCCUCCUGAAUUGAAUAUUGAGAGGGAUGGCCUGAAGUACUGUUGCAACAAAAGCUUCUCUUCGUUGAACAAUACUAUAGAGAGACGGAUAUUGCAGCGCAAGGGGUGUUUCCCCUAGCCAAGUAUCCUCCCAGAAUCGUGUGGUGGUGCCAUUUCCGAUUAUAAACUUUGUCCUAUUGAAAAAAGUUGAUUUAACUCUCAUCAGCCCUUUCCAAAAACAUGAGUCCGUCGGUCUCGCUGUCACCUGGGACAAAGUUUUGGAGUGGAGGUAGUUACUACGAAGAAUCUGCACCCAUGUGGCCUCCAUCUCAACAGAUAACUUAGACAGCCACUUACUGAGAACGCAUCUGUUUUUGACUUCAAGAUUUUCAAUGUGAAGACCCCCUUGGUCUUUUGGUCUACAAAUAAUGUCCCAUUUGGCGAGUCUAUAUUUUCGUUUUAGUUUAUCACUCUGCCAGAAAAAUCGGGAACGAUAGAAGUCCAGCCUUUUCCUGACUCCAACUGGAACCUCGAAAAACGACAAGAGAAACAUAGGCAUACUAGUGAGAACCGAAUUAAUGAGAAUUAAUCGGCCUCCGUAUGACAGAAGCUUGCCCUUCCAGCAGCUCAGUUUCUUCUCAAAUCGAUCCUCAAUGCACUUCCAUUCUCUGUUUGUCAGCUUAUGAUGAUGAAUUGGUAUACCUAAAUACGUAAAAGGUAAAGCCCCCAAUUCGCACCCAAACAAUUGCCUAUAAGCCUCUUGUUCCUCAUUGGCCCUUCCAAAGCAGAACAACUCGCUUUUAUGAAAAUUAAUCUUUAACCCAGUCAAUUGUUCAAAUAAGCAUAACACCAGCUUCAUGUUUCUCUCUUUUGCCAAGUCAUGUGAUACGUCUCCGUCGUAUCUAUAAUUUUUGAUUGUUCCAUGCCAAUAUUCUACAACUUUCAUAUACUUUUGGCAACUUUUUAUACUAUUUUUGGGACUAACAUAUUGAUCCAGUGCCCAGUGCCAGUUCCUGUCUGUUGCAUGUUUUAUGUUUCGCAGAAUAUCCAUAUCAAACGGAAUCCAAACGGGAUAAAAAACGGACGGAGCUUAUUUUUGGAAUAUUUGGAAAAUUCAGGAAGAAAAAUCCACGCGAAACGGUGCCCGAGGUGGCCACGAGGCAGGGGGCGCGCCCCUGACCCUCGUGGGCCACCCGUAAGGCGGUUGAUGCCCUUCUUCGGCCGCAAGAAAGCUAAUUUUUGGUAAAAAAAAUCACGGCGAAGGUUUCAGCCCAAUCGGAGUUACGGAUCUCCAUAUAUAUACGAAACGGUGAAAGGGCAGCGGAGGAGAACGCACAAACAGAGAGAGACAGAGAGACAGAUCCAAUCUCGGAGGGGCUCUCGCCCCUCCCAUGCCAUGGAGGCCAAGGACCAGAGGGGAAACCCUUCUCCCAUCUAGGGAGGAGGUCAAGGAAGAAGAGGAAGAAGGGGCCCCCUCUCCCCCUCUCCUCCGGUGGCGCCGGAACGCUGUCGUGGCCACCACCAUCAUCACCGCGAUCUUCACCAACACCUCCACCAUCUUCACCAACAUCUCCAUCACCUUCCCCCCUCUAUCUACAGCGGUCCACUCUCCCGCAACUUGAACAUUGUGCUUUAUGCUUCAUAUUAUUAUCCAAUGAUGUCUUGCCAUCCUGUGAUGUCUGAGUAGAUUUUCGUUGUCCUAUCGGUGGUUGAUGAAUUGCUAUGAUUGAUUUAAUUUGCUUGUGGUUAUGUUGCUGUCCUUUGGUGCCCAUCAUAUGAGCGCGCGCGUGGAUCACACCAUAGGGUUAGUUGUAUGUUGAUAGGACUAUGUAUUGGAGGGCAAGAGUGACAGAAGUUUCAACCUAGCAUAGAAAUGGAUACAUACGGGAUUGAAGGGGGACCAAUAUAUCUUAAUGCUAUGGUUGGGUUUUACCUUAGUGAACAUUAAUAGUUGCGGAUGCUUGCUAAUAGUUCCAAUCAUAAGUGCAUAGAAUUCCAAGUAAGGGAUGACAUGCUAGCAGUGGCCUCUCCCACAUAAUACUUGCUAUCGGUCUAGUAAAGUAGUCAAUUGCUUAGGGACAAUUUCGCAACUCCUACCACCACUUUUCCACACUCACUAUAUUAACUUUAUUGUGUCUUUACUUAAACAGCCCCUAGUUUUUAUUUACGCGCUCUUUAUUAUCUUGCAAACCUAUCCAAAAACACCUACAAAGUACUUCUAGUUUCAUACUUGUUCUAGGUAAAGCGAACAUCAAGCGUGUGUAGAGUUGUAUCGGUGGUCGAUAGAACUUGAGGGAAUAUUUGUUCUACCUUUAGCUCCUUGUUGGGUUCGACUCUUACUUAUCGAAAACUGUUGCGAUCCCCUAUACUUGUGGGUUAUCAAGACCUUUUUCUGGCGCCGUUGCCGGGGAGUCAUAGUGUGGGGUGGAUAUUCUCGUGUGUGCUUGUUUGCUUUAUCACUAAAUAAUUUUUAUUUGUUGUUCUUAGUUGUUCUUUAUCUUUAGUUAUAAAUAUGGAACACGAAAUACCAAAAAAAUUAGGUGUACUUGCUACUCAUGGAGAUGGGGAACCUCCUAAAACCCUCGAUGCUGGUUAUGUGAAAGAUAUUAUGUACUACUUUAAUAAUCCUGAGAAAACCCCAUUCAAUUAUGUAAUGGGAGUAACGUUGGAUCAACGUGAAUACUUUAGGGAUUAUCGCUUGACACAAAAAGGGAAAGAAUUAUGGGAUCAAAUUUAUAUGUUGAAGUGGUAUGCUAGGCAACUAUGCUUGAGAUAUGAUUAUACUUGUUGCUCUAGGAUGAAGGCUCCACACCUUCCCUUUUCAUGCAAAUUUAAUGAUAAUAAAACCUUAUCCUCUUAUGCUAAUGGUAUAUAUGAUUACUAUGAUGUGGAACAAAUAGAAGAAUUUGCUGCUUUUAUGGGUGCUUAUGAAAUUGAAUCUAUGUUUAAAGAGUUUGAAGAUUCGGUUUAUAGACCUGAAAAUUUAGCUAUCCUUAAAUAUUGUUAUGACAAUUAUGAAUAUAAUUACGAUAUUAAUGCACUUAUUGAGAAAGUCUCCGCUGUCCAAGAAAAGACUAAUAUUUUGCAGGAGUCUAUGGAAGAAGAAAUUACUGAAACUAUGAGCUCAUUGGAUGAAAAAGAUGAUGAGGAGAGCGAAGAACAAAAGGAGGAAGAGCGGAUUAGCUACCCGUGCCCACCUUCUAAUGAGAGUAACUCUUCAACUCAUACAUUGUUUAAUUUCCCUUCGUGCUUACCGAAGGAUGAAUGCUAUGAUGACUGUUAUGAUCCCUUUGAUUCUUUUGAAAUAUCCCUUUUUGAUGAUGCUUGCUAUGCUUGUGGCCAAGAUGCCAAUAUGAAUUAUGCUUAUGGAGAUGAACUUGAUAUAGUUCCUUAUGUUAAACAUGAAAUUGUUGCUAUUGCACCCACGCAUGAUAGUCCUAUUAUCUUUUUGAAUUCUCCCGAUUAUACUAUAUCGGAGAAGUUUGCACUUAUUAAGGAUUAUAUUGAUGGGUUGCCUUUUACCGUUGCACAUGAUGAUUUUGAUGAAUAUAAUAUGCAUGUGCUUGCUGCUCCUACUUGCAAUUAUUAUGAGAGAGGAACCAUAUCUCCACCUCUCUAUGUUUCCAACAUGAUAAAAUUGCAAGAAACAGUUUAUACUAUGCAUUGGCCUUUACUAGGUGUGCAUGAAUUGUUCUUUUAUGACAUGCCGAUGCAUAGAAAGAGAGUUAGACUUCGUCAUUGCUUGAUAUAUGUUACUUUGUACUCACUACUAAAUUACAAAUCAUUGUUAAUUAAAAUUGGCUUUGAUAUACCUUGGGAUCCGGGUGGAUUCACUACUUGGGCACUAUAUGCCUAGCUUAAUGGCUUUAAAGAAAGCGCUGCCAGGGAGACAACCCGGAAGUUUUAGAGAGUCAUUUAUUUCUGUUGAGUGCUUUCAUAUAGUUUAAAAACAACAAAAAUAAAGAGGGGAACCUAAAACUUUUUCAAAAAGAAAGUGAAAGUGAGAAAGACAAGCAUUGUUGAGGUGGGAGCUAGCCUUGAACUUUGUUCAUGCUCACGGAAACUUUGUGAAUCUUGAUUACAGAAACUUUUCAACAAAAAUAAUUAUCCCCUUGUACAAUUUCAUUGUAUUAUAAAAAUAAUGUGCCUAGGUUUGCCUUUAGGAUGUUUACAAUGCUUGUUGGUUUGUACGGUGCAGGACAGAAACUUUGGCUGUAGUGCGCGAUUUUAUUUUUUUACUGGAACGUCAAAUGGUUCUGAUUCUUUUUGCACUGUCUUUCUAUAAAAAUUGUUUAUUUUUCCUAAUUUUGGCAGAAUUUUUCAAGUAUCAGAAGUAUGGUGAAUGUUCAGAUUAUUACAGACUGUUCUGUUUUAGACAGAUUCUGUUUUUGAUGCAUAGUUUGCUUGUUUUGAUGAAACUAUCAAUUUAUAUCAGUGGAUUGAGCCAUGAAAAAGUUAUACUACAGUAGACACAAUGCAAAAACAAAAUAUGAAUUGGUUUGUAACAGUACUUAGAGUAGUGAUUUGCUUUAUUAUACUAACAGAUCUUACCGAGUUUUCUGUUGAAGUUUUGUGUGGAUGAAGUGUUCGAUGAUCGAGAAGGUCUCGAUGUGAGAAGAAGGAAGAGAGGCAAGAGCUCAAGCUUGGGGAUGCCCGAGGCACCCCGAGUAAAUAUUCAAGGAGACUCAAGCGUCUAAGUUUGGGGAUGCCCCGGAAGGCAUCCCCUCUUUCUUCAACAAGUAUCGGUAUGUUUUCGGAUUCGUUUCGUUCAUGCGAUAUGUGCAAUCUUGGAGCGUCUUUUGUUUUAGUUUUGAUUUUUCUUUUAUGCACCAUGAUGGUAUGAGAUAGUCCUUGGUUGAUUUAUAGAAUGCUCUUUGCACUUCACUUAUAUCUUUUGAGUAUGGCAUUAUAGAAUGCUUCAUGUGCUUCACUUCUAUCAUUUGAAGUUUGGAUUGCCUGUUUCUCUUCACUUAGUCAACCGCCAUUUGUAGAAUGCUCUUUUGCUUCACUUAUAUUUGUUAGAGCGUGGGCAUAUCUUUUGUAGAAAGAAUUAAACUCUCGUGCUUCACUUAUAUCUAUUUAGAGAGAUGACAGGAACUGGUCAUUCACAUGGUUAGUCAUAAAAUCCUACAUAAAACUUGUAGAUCACUGAAUAUGAUAUGUUUGAUUCCUUGCAAUAGUUUUGCGAUAUAAAGAUGGUGAUAUUAGAGUCAUGCUAGUGGGUGGUUGUGGAUUGUAGAAAUACUUGUGUUGAGGUUUGUGAUUCCCGUAGCAUGCACGUAUGGUGAACCGUUAUGUAACGAAGUUGGAGCAUGGGGUAUUUAUUGAUUGUCUUCCUUAUGAGUGGCGGUCGGGGACGAGCGAUGGUCUUUUCCUACCAACCUAUCCCCCUAGGAGCAUGCACGUAGUACUUUGUUUCGAUGACUAAUAGAUUUUUGCAAUAAGUAUGUGAGUUCUUUAUGACUAAUGUUAAGUACAUGGAUUAUACACACUCUCACCCUUCCAUCAUUGCUAGCCUCUUCGGUACCGUGCAUUGCCCUUUCUCACCUCGAGAGUUGGCGCAAACUUCACCGGUGCAUCCAAACCCGUGAUACGAUACGCUCUAUCACACAUAAACCUCCUUAUAUCUUCCUCAAAACAGCCACCAUACCUACCUAUUAUUGCAUUUCCAUAGCCAUUCCGAGUAUAUUGCCGUGCAACUUCCAUCAUCAUCAUAUACAUGACUUGAGCAUUUAUCGUCAUAUUGCUUUGCAUGAUCGUAAGAUAGCUAGCAUGAUGUUUUCAUGGCUUGUCCUUUUUUUGAUGUCAUUGCUACGCUAGAUCAUUGCACAUCCGGUACACCGCCGGAGGCAUUCAUAUAGAGUCAUACCUUUGUUCUAGACAUCGAGUUGUAAUAUUGAGUUGUAAGUAAAUAAAAGUGUGAUGAUCAUCAUUAUUAGAGCAUUGCCCCAGUGAGGAAAGGAUGAUGGAGACUAUGAUUACCCCACAAGUCGGGAUGAGACUCCGGACGAAAAAAAAUAAAAAAAAGAGAAAGGCCAAAAAAAGAAGAGAGAAGGCCCAAAAAAAAAAGAAAAAAAUGAGAGAAAAAGAGAGAAGGGGCAAUGUUACUAUCCUUUUACCACACUUGUGCUUCAAAGUAGCACCAUGUUCUUCAUAUAGAGAGUCUCUUGAGUUAUCACUUUCAUAUACUAGUGGGAAUUUUCAUUAUAGAACUUGACUUGUAUAUUCCAACGAUGGGCUUCCUCAAAUGCCCUAGGUCUUCAUGAGCAAGCAAGUUGGAUGCACACCCACUUAGUUUCAGUUUGAACUUUCAUAUACUUAUAGCUCUAGUGCAUCCGUUGCAUGGCAAUCCCCACUCCUCACAUUGACAUCAAUUGAUGGGCAUCCCCAUAGCCCGUUGAUUAGCCGCGUCGAUGUGAGACUUUCUCCUUUUUUGUCUUCUCUAGAUAACCCCCAUCAUCAUAUUCUAUUCCACCCAUAGUGCUAUGUCCAUGGCUCAUGCUCAUGUAUUGCGUGAAAGUUGAAAAGGUUUGAGAACGUCAAAAGUAUGAAACAAUUGCUUGGCUUGUCAUCGGGGUUGUGCAUGAUGAGAAUAUUUUGUGUGGUGAAGAUGGAGCAUAGCCAGACUAUAUGAUUUUGUAGGGAUAACUUUCUUUGGCCUUGUUAUUUUGAAAAGACAUGAUUGCUUUAUUAGUAGGCUUGAAGUAUUAUUGUUUUUAUGUCAAAUGAUAGACUAUUGCUUUGAAUCACUCGUGUCUUAAUAUUCAUGCCAUGAUUACAUAUGUGAUCAAGAUUAUGCUAGGUAGCAUUCCACAUCAAAAAUUAUCUUUUUUAUCAUUUACCUACUCGAGGACGAGCAGGAAUUAAGCUUGGGGAUGCUGAUACGUCUCCGUCGUAUCUAUAAUUUUUGAUUGUUCCAUGCCAAUAUUCUACAACUUUCAUAUACUUUUGGCAACUUUUUAUACUAUUUUUGGGACUAACAUAUUGAUCCAGUGCCCAGUGCCAGUUCCUGUCUAUUGCAUGUUUUAUGUUUCGCAGAAUAUCCAUAUCAAACGGAAUCCAAACGGGAUAAAAACGGACGGAGCUUAUUUUUGGAAUGUUUGGAAAAUUCCGGAAGAAAAAUCCAUGCGAAACGGUGCCCGAGGUGGCCACGAGGCAGGGGGCGCGCCCCUGACCCUCGUGGGCCACCCGUAAGGCGGUUGAUGCCCUUCUUCGGCCGCAAGAAUGCUAAUUUUUGGUAAAAAAUCACGGCGAAGGUUUCAGCCCAAUCGGAGUUACGGAUCUCCAUAUAUAUACGAAACGGUGAAAGGGCAGCGGAGGAGAACGCACAAACAGAGAGAGACAGAGAGACAGAUCCAAUCUCGGAGGGGCUCUCGCCCCUCCCAUGCCAUGGAGGCCAAGGACCAGAGGGGAAACCCUUCUCCCAUCUAGGGAGGAGGUCAAGGAAGAAGAGGAAGAAGGGGGCCCCUCUCCCCCUCUCCUCCGGUGGCGCCGGAACGCUGCCGUGGCCACCAUCAUCAUCACCGCGAUCUUCACCAACACCUCCGCCAUCUUCACCAACAUCUCCAUCACCUUCCCCCCUAUCUACAGCGGUCCACUCUCCCACAACCCGCUGUACCCUCUACUUGAACAUGGUGCUUUAUGCUUCAUAUUAUUAUCCAAUGAUGUGUUGCCAUCCUAUGAUGUCUGAGUAGAUUUUCGUUGUCCUAUCGGUGGUUGAUGAAUUGCUAUGAUUGAUUUAAUUUGCUUGUGGUUAUGUUGCUGUCCUUUGGUGCCCAUCAUAUGAGCGCGCGCGUGGAUCACACCAUAGGGUUAGUUGUAUGUUGAUAGGACUAUGUAUUGGAGGGCAAGAGUGACAGAAGUUUCAACCUAGCAUAGAAAUUGAUACAUACGGGAUUGAAGGGGGACCAAUAUAUCUUAAUGCUAUGGUUGGGUUUUACCUUAAUGAACAUUAGUAGUUGCGGAUGCUUGCUAAUAGUUCCAAUCAUAAGUGCAUAGAAUUCCAAGUAAGGGAUGACAUGCUAGCAGUGGCCUCUCCCACAUAAUACUUGCUAUCGGUCUAGUAAAGUAGUCAAUUGCUUAGGGACAAUUUCGCAACUCCUACCACCACUUUUCCACACUCGCUAUAUUAACUUUAUUGUGUCUUUACUUAAACAGCUCCUAGUUUUUAUUUACGCGCUCUUUAUUAUCUUGCAAACCUAUCCAAAAACACCUACAAAGUACUUCUAGUUUCAUACUUGUUCUAGGUAAAGCGAACGUCAAGCGUGUGUAGAGUUGUAUCGGUGGUCGAUAGAACUUGAGGGAAUAUUUGUUUUACCUUUAGCUCCUCGUUGGGUUCGACACUCUUACUUAUCGAAAACUGUUGCGAUCCCCUAUACUUGUGGGUUAUCAUCAUGCUCCAUAAAGAUGAUAGUAUCAUCGGCGUACUGUAGGAUAGACACACCUCCAUCAACUAGAUGAGGCACCAGUCCACCUACUUGACCAGCCUCUUUAGCCCUUCCUAUUAAAGUUGCCGACAUAUCGACUACAAUGUUGAACAAUAUAGGAGACAUCGGAUCACCUUGUCUCAGGCCCUUAUGUGUCUGGAAAUAAUGACAUAUUUAUCAUUAACUUUAAUUCCAACACUCCCUUUUUGCGUGAAAGAUUCUACCUGGCGACGCCAGGCUAGAUCAAAACCUUUCAUACGCAAUGCAUGUUGAAGAAAAGGCCAUUUGACUUUGUCGUACGCUUUCUUGAAAUCCACCUUGAAGACAACUCCAUCGAGUUUUUUCGUGUGAAUUUCGUGGAGCGUUUCAUGCAGAACCACAACUCCUUCUAGGAUGUUUCUGUCCGGCAUGAAAGCAGUUUGAGACUGCUGCAGCAUAGAAUGUGCAAUCGUGUGAGCCUAUUAGUCCCUACCUUGGUGAAAAUUUUGAAACUAACGUUAAGAAGACAGAUCGGCCUGAACUGCUCAAUUCUCACAGCCUCUGUUUUCUUAGGAAGCAGAGUUAUCAUUCCAAAAUUCAAGUGAAACAACUGAAGCUGUCCAGAGAAUAAAUCAUAGAACAUCGGUAUCAAAUCCCCCUUAAUAAUAUGCUAGCACUUUUUAUAAAACUCCGCCGGAAAACCAUCCAGCCCUGGAGCCUUAUUAUUUUUCAUCUGUGAAAUAGCUUCAAACACCUCUUUCUCCGAAAAUGGGGCAGUCAAAAUAUCGUUCUCAUCUGCAGUAAGUUGAGGAACAUCCUCAAUCCUAGACUCGUCCAGGGAUACACAAUUAUCCUCUGGAGGUCCAGACAGCUGCUUGUAAUAUUCGGUUAUGUAUAAUUUUAGUUUUUCCUGUCCUAAAAUCGUUCCUUCGUCUUGCUCAAGCUAAAAGAUUCUUUUCUUUUUGUGCUUGCCAUUGGCGAUCAUGUGAAAGAAUUGACUGUUCGCGUCCCCCUGGACAACUUUGCGAACCUUAGCUCGCAGUGCCCACUUCAAUUCCUCUUCACGGAGAAGUUCUUUCAAUCUCAUCUCCGCAUCUAAUUUAGCAUGAAGCUCCGUCAUCUCUAGAAGUGUGGACUCGACUUUUAAAUCUAGGGACUGAAUAAGUGUAAGAAGCCUUUCCUUUUCAACCUUAUAAAUCCCACUAAGAUGCUUAGCCCACCCACACAAGAAAUUUCUCAAGUGCCUUAUCUUAUUCUGCCAUCGCUCGACCGAAGUCCUACCUCCUGCAUCCUUAGCCCAUUCCCUGGCUAUCAGAUCCAAGAAGCCUUCUCUUUCAAACCAUGCUAGUUCGAAAGAAAAGGAAUGUUUGUUCCCCAUGUGGGUUGCCUCACCAGAGUCAACCAGUAAAGGCGUGUGAUCAGAUAUUCCGCGCGACAGUGCCUGGACUGUUACCAAGGGAAAUUUCUGUUCCCAUUCAACGCUCGCGAGGACUCGAUCCAAUUUUCAAACGUCAGAUUUGGCAAGGUAUUAGCCCAGGUGAAUUUUCUACCCGAAAGCUCUAUAUCUCUCGGAUCCAAGCUUUCAAUAAUUGUAUUAAACAUGAACGACCACCUGCCGUCGAAAUUAUCAUUUUUUCCCUCUCUUCUUCUAAUAAUGUUGAAAUCACCCCCAACCAAGAUUGGGAGCUGCUCGAAACCGCAAAUUCGAACAAGAUCUGCCAGGAACUCUGGUUUGAGUUCGGGCUGUGCGGCACCAUAUACCGCCACCAGUGCCCAAUUAAACCCAUCGACCUUCGAACUAACCCGAAACUUAACAGCGAAAUCUCCCAUCACUACGCUUCGAACUUCCAGCGAUUCGCAUCUAACUCCAAGUAAGAUCCCACCCGAUCUUCCUUUCGGAGGAAGGCUCUCCCAAUCAAAAUCGACACCCCCCGAUAGAGUACCGAGAAACUGUGGAGAAAUAUUAUCUCGACCAGUUUCCGAGAGAGCAAUGAAAUCCAACCUAUGCUCGAUAGAAGCAUCUGCAAGAAACCUUCUUUUAGCCAAGUCUUUCAGACCUCUGCUAUUCCAAAAGAUUCCUCUCAUAUUUUGUCAUGAAUUUUUUAGAGGUACGGACCCUAGCACUCCUACGCACCGCCGAAGCAAGAUAAAUCUUCCGCUUCCACUUGCAUUUAGGUUUGUUUUGAUCCUCCACUCUAUCCUCACAACCAGGCUCCAUGGAUCUAACUACCUCAGCCUCGAAAGUAUCAUCCUCUUCCUCUCUCUCAGGAAGGGAUGGUGCAAGAUCCGCACAAAAGCUAUCGAGCACCCUGACUCCCAAUGCAUCUAUGUCAGAAUCAUUCAUGGGUUUAACCGCUGCUAAGUUUCGAAGCAUUUCUAAAGUGUGUUCCGCUUCCAAAUCCAGGAUAUCAUUUACAGAGUUAGAAAUUUCACUAUCAUUACUACCUAGUGAAACUCCUAAUUGAUUUGCAUUAUUAAUAAUCUCAUCAUUAGAAAAAUGCAGAAUGGAAUUAGAUGUGUUGACCUACAUACCAGUAGUGACCUCAAUGUCACGGAGCUUGGCCGCCCUCAUGGCGCACCGCGGCUGCAUGUCAUCAACCUCCGGGUGAUUUUGGAGGCGGGAGCUCAUCCGUCGCCCCUCAUAUACCGGACCCGGAAUGCCUCCAAAAGCGAUUACCUCCUCCCGAGUGGCCCUGUUUGGGGUAAGGCCUCCAGCCCCACCCCCACGUACGGCCUGGCUGCAACACCCGGAGAGGCACCAAGAUCCGCCGCAAGCACCGCCGGGGUGCCCAACGCUCCCUGCGAGCGCGAGGGAGGAGAGAGCUGGGCCACCUGCCCAUGCUCCCCCCCGACGCGGCGAGCGUAGCCGGCGUCCCACCCACAAGUGAGCAAGGAGAAGUGGGCGUGGGGGCCGCCUACCCCCGCUCCCCACCCGACCCAGCCCUGAGGCUGGAAGGCGACGCGACCACAGGCACGGCCGCCGCGACUACCGCAGGAGAGGAGGGAGCCGAGGCCACCUGCCUGGGUCCCCCUCCCAAACUGGUCAUGCCACCGAUCGGCAUCACAGACACCUCCGCCGCAGUCCUCAUCUGCGGCGCACCAUCAGAAAGAGAGGAAGAACGAGGGGCCUCCUGCCCAUGAUCCUCCCCCCUCGCAGCUGAAGUGAUCUGAGAAACCGACGCCUCCAGACACCCAUCAAGAGAAACAACAGCCGGUGCAAAGUCUAGAGGAGGGAGCCUGCGUUCUAGCACGUCCUCAGACUCCACUCGCUCACUCCACACCCUAGGAGGAGCAGAAGCUGGCUCAAAUGAACCGAAUCUCAGAGUGCUCAUCGGCAUAGCAGCAGAAGAAGUAGCCCCAGUCCCGGGUGAAGGAAAUAUGCCCUAGAGGCAAUAAUAAAGUUAUUAUUUAUUUCCUUAUUUCAUGAUAAAUGUUUAUUAUUCAUGCUAGAAUUGUAUUAACCGGAAACAUAAUACUUGUGUGAAUACAUAGACAAACAGAGUGUCACUAGUAUGCCUCUACUUGACUAGCUCGUUGAUCAAAGAUGGUUAUGUUUCCUAGCCAUAGACAUGAGUUGUCAUUUGAUUAACGGGAUCACAUCAUAGGAGAAUGAUGUGAUUGACUUGACCCAUUCCGUUAGCUUAGCACUUGAUCGUUUAGUAUUCUGCUAUUGCUUUCUUCAUGACUUAUACAUGUUCCUAUGACUAUGAGAUUAUGCAACCCUCAUUUACCGGAGGAACACUUUGUGUGCUACCAAAUGUCACAACAUAACUAGGUGAUUAUAAAGGUGCUCUACAGUUGUCUCCGAAGGUACUUGUUGGGUUGGCGUAUUUCGAGAUCAGGAUUUGUCACUCCGAUUGUCGGAGAGGUAUCCUUGGGCCCACUCAGUAAUGCACAUCACUAUAAGCCUUGCAAGCAUUGUAACUAAUGAGUUAGUUGCGGGAUGAUGUAUUACGGAAUGAGUAAAGAGACUUCCCGGUAACGAGAUUGACCUAGGUAUUGAGAUACCGACGAUCGAAUCUCGGGCAAGUAACAUACCGAUGACAAAGGGAACAACGUAUGUUGUUAUGCGGUUUGACCGAUAAAGAUCUUCAUAGAAUAUGUGGGAGCCAAUAUGAGCAUCCAGGUUCCGCUAGUCAUGUCUACAUUGUUCUCGAACCCGUAGGGUCCGCACGCUUAAAGUUCGAUGAUGGUUAUAUUAUGUGUUUAUGUGUUUUGAUGUACCGAAGGUAGUUUGGAGUCCCGUAUGAGAUCGGGGACAUGACGAGGAGUCUCGAAAUGGUCGAGACGUAACGAUCAAUAUAUUGGACGACUAUAUUCGGACAUCGGAAAGGUUCCGAGUGAUUCGGGUAUUUUUCGGAGUACCGGAGAGUUACGAGAAUUCGCCGGGGAGUAUAUGGGCCUUAUUGGGCUUUAGGGGAAAGAGAGAGAGGAGAGGUUGGGCGCCCCCCCCAAGGCCUAGUCCGAAUUGGACUAGGGGGAGGGGCUGCGCCCCCUCCUUCCUUCUCUUCUCUCUCCCCUUUCCUUGACUCCUACUCCUACUACUAGGAAAGAGGGGGGAAUCCUACUUGGAGUAUCAUUGCCCCCCUUGGGCGCGCCUCCUCCCCUUGGCCGGCCCUCUCCUCCUCCCCUCUCCCUUUAUAUACGGAGGAGGGGGGCACCCCAUAGACACAACAAUUGAUCUCUUGAUCUCUUAGCCGUGUGUGGUGCCCCCCUCCACCAUAAUCCACCUCGAUAAUAUCGUAGCGGUGCUUAGGCGAAGCCCUGCGUCGGUAGAACAUCACCAUCGUCACCACGCCGUCGUGCUGACGGAACUCUCCCUCAAAGCUCGGCUGGAUCGAAGUUUGAGGGACGUCAUCGAGUUGAACGUGUGCAGAACUCGGAGGUGCCGUGCGUUCGGUACUUGAUCGGUCGGAUCGUGAAGACGUACGACUACAUCAACUGCGUUGUGCUAACGCUUCCGCUUUUGGUCUACGAGGGUACGUGGACAACACUCUCCCCUCUCGUUGCUAUGCAUCACCAUGAUCUUGCGUGUGCGUAUGAAUCUUUUUGAAAUUACUACCUUCCCCAACAGUGGCAUCCGAGCCAGGUUUUAUGCGUAGAUGUCAUAUGCACGAGUAGAACACAAGUGAGUUGUGGGCGAUACAAGUCAUAUUGCUUACCAGCAUGUCAUACUUUGGUUCGGCGGUAUUGUUGGAUGAAGCGGCCGGACCGACAUUACGCGUACGCUUACGCGAGACUGGUUCUACCGACGUGCUUUGCACACAGGUGGCUGGCGGGUGUCAGUUUCUCCAACUUUAGUUGAACCGAGUGUGGCUACGCCCGGUCCUUGAGAAGGUUAAAACAAUACUAAUUUGACGAACUAUCGUUGUGGUUUUGAUGCGUAGGUAAGAACGGUUCUUGCUCAGCCCGUAGCAGCCACGUAAAACUUGCAACAACAAAGUAGAGGACGUCUAAGUUGUUUUUGCAGGGCAUGUUGUGAUGUGAUAUGGUCAAGGCAUGAUGCUAAAUUUUAUUGUAUGAGAUGAUCAUGUUUUGUAACCGAGUUAUCGGCAACUGGCAGGAGCCAUAUGGUUGUCGCUUUAUUGUAUGCAAUGCAAUCGCCCUGUAAUGCUUUACUUUAUCACUAAGCGGUAGCGAUAGUCGCAAGCAUAAGAUUGGCAAGAUGACAACGAUACUACGAUGGAGAUCAAGGUGUCGCGCCGGUGACGAUGGUGAUCAUGACGGUGCUUCGGAGAUGGAGAUCACAAGCACAAGAUGAUGAUGGCCAUAUCAUAUCACUUAUAUUGAUUGCAUGUGAUGUUUAUCUUUUAUGCAUCUUAUCUUGCUUUGAUUGACGGUAGCAUUAUAAGAUGAUAUCUCACUAAAUUAUCAAGGUAUAAUUGUUCUCCCUAAGUAUGCACCGUUGCGAAAGUUCUUCGUGCUGAGACACCACGUGAUGAUCGGGUGUGUUAGGCUCUACGUUCAAAUACAACUGGUGCAAAACAGUUGCACACGCGAAUACUCAGGUUAAACUUGACGAGCCUAGCAUAUAACAGAUAUGGCCUCGGAACACGGAGACCGAAAGGUCGAGCGUGAAUCAUAUAGUAGAUAUGAUCAACAUAGUGAUGUUCACCAUUGAAACUACUCCAUCUCACGUGAUGAUCGUACAUGGUUUAGUUGAUUUGGAUCACGUGAUCACUUAGAGGAUUAGAGGGAUGUCUAUCUAAGUGGGAGUUCUUAAGUAAUAUGAUUAAUUGAACUUAAAUUUAUCAUGAACUUAGUCCUGGUAGUAUUAGCAUAUCUAUGUUGUAGAUCAAUAGCUCGCGUUUAGCUCCCCUGUUUUAUUUUUGAUAUGUUCCUAGAGAAAACUAAGUUGAAAGAUGUUAGUAGCAAUGAUACGGAUUGGAUCCGUAAUUUGAGGAUUAUCCUCAUUGCUGCACAGAAGAAUUAUGUCCUUGACGCACCACUAGGUGACAGACCGAUUGCAGGAGCAACUGCAGACGUUAUGAACGUUUGGCAAGCUCGAUAUGAUGACUACUUGAUAGUUUAGUGCACCAUGCUUUAUGGCUUAGAAUCGGGGCUUCAAAGACGUUUUUUUAAACGCCACGGAGCAUAUGAGAUGUUCCAAGAGUUGAAAUUAGUAUUUCAUACUCAUGCCCGUGUCGAGAGGUAUGAGACCUCUGACAGUACUUUGCCUACAAGAUGGAGGAGAAUUGCUCAGCUAGUGAGCAUGUGCUCAGAAUGUCUGAGUACUACAAUCACUUGAAUCAAGUGGGAGUUAAUCUUCCAGAUAAGAUAGUGAUUGGCAGAGUUCUCUAGUCACUAUCACCAAGUUACUAGAACUUCGUGAUGAACUAUAAUAUGCAAGGGAUAACGGAAACGAUUCCCGAGCUCUUCGCAAUGCUAAAGGCUGCGGGGGUAGAAAUCAAGAAAGAGCAUCAAGUGUUGAUGGUCAACAAGACCACUAGUUUCAAGAAAAAGGGCAAAGCGAAGAAGAAGGAGAACUUCAAGAAGAACAACAAACAAGUUGCUGCUCAGGAGAAGAAACCCAAGUCUGGACCUAAGCCUGAGACUGAGUGCUUCCACUGCAAACAGACUGGUCACUGGAAACGGAACUGCCCCAAGUAUUUGGCGGAUAAGAAGGAUGGCAAAGUGAACAAAGGUAUAUUUGAUAUACAGAUUAUUGAUGUGUAUUUUACUAGUGUUCGUAGCAACCCCUCGGUAUUUGAUACUGGUUCAGUUGCUAAGAGUAGUAACUCGAAACGGGAGUUGCAGAAUGAAUAGAGACUAGUUAAGGGUGAAGUGACGAUGUGUGUUGGAAGUGGUUCCAAGAUUGAUAUGAUCAUCAUCGCACGCCCCCUACACUUUCGGGAUUAGUGUUGAACCUAAAUAAGUGUUAUUUGGUGUUUGCGUUGAGCAUGAAUAUGAUUUGAUCAUGUUUAUUGCAAUACGGUUAUUCAUUUAAGUUAGAGAAUAAUUGUUGUUCUAUUUACAUGAAUAAAACCUUCUAUGGUCAUACACCCAAUGAAAAUGGUUUGUUGGAUCUUGAUCGUAGUGAUACACAUAUUCAUAAUAUUGAAGCCAAAAGAUGCAAAGUUAAUAAUGAUAGUGCAACUCAUUUGUGGCGCUGCCGUUUAGGUCAUAUUGGUGUAAAGCGCAUGAAGAAACUCCAUGCUGAUGGGAUUUUGGAAUCACUUGAUUAUGAAUCACUUGAUGCUUGCGAACCAUGCCUUAUGGGCAAGAUGACUAAAGACUCCGUUCUCCGGAACAAUGGAGCGAGCAACUGACUUAUUGGAAAUAAUACAUACUGAUGUAUGCGAUCUGAUGAUUGUUGAGGCUCGCGGCGGGUAUCGUUAUUUUCUGACCUUCACAGAUGAUUUGAGCAGAUAUGGGUAUAUCUACUUGAUGAAACAUCAGUCUGAAACAUUUGAAAAGUUCAUAGAAUUUCAGAGUGAAGUGGAAAAUCAUCGUGACAAGAAAAUAAAGUUUCUACGAUCUGAUCGCGGAGACAAAUAUUUGAGUUACGAGUUUGGUCUUCAAUUAAAACAAUGUGGAAUAGUUUCACAAAUUCGUGCCACCUGGAACACCACAGCAUAAUGGUGUGUCCGAACGUCAUAACCAUACUUUAUUGGAUAUAGUGCAAUCUAUGAUGUCUCUUACCGAUUUACCACUAUCGUUCUGGGGUUAUGCAUUAGAGACAGCUGCAUGCACAUUAAAUAGGGCACCGUCUAAUCCGUUGAGAUGACACCGUAUGAACUAUGGUUUGGCAAGAAACCAAAGUUGUCGUUUCUUAAAGUUUGGGGCUGCGAUGCUUAUGUGAAAAAGCUUCAACCUGAUAAGCUCGAACCCAAAUCGGAAAAAUGUGUCUUCAUAGGAUACCCAAAAGAGACUGUUGGGUACACCUUCUAUCACAGAUCUGAAGGCAAGACUUUUGUUACUAAAUUUGGAAUCUUUCUAGAGAAGGAGUUUCUCUCGAAAGAAGUGAGUGGGAGGAAAGUAGAACUUGAUGAGGUAACUAUACCUGCUCCCUUAUUGGAAAGUAGUUCAUCACAGAAACCGGUUCCUGUGACACCUACACCAAUUAGUGAGGAAGUUAAUGAUGAUGAUCAUGAAACUUCAGAUCAAGUUGUUACUGAACCUCGUAGGUCAACCAGAGUAAGAUCCACACCAGAGUGGUACGGUAAUCCUGUUCUGGAGGUUAUGUUACUAGACCAUGACGAACCUAUGAACUAUGAUGAAGCGAUGGUGAGCCUAGAUUCCGCAAAAUGGUUUGAGGCCAUGAAAUCUGAGAUGGGAUCCAUGUAUGAGAACAAAGUAUGGACUUUGAUCGACUUGCCCAAUGAUCGGCGAGCCAUUGAGAUUAAAUGGAUCUUCAAGAGGAAGACGGACGCUGAUAGUACUGUUACUAUCUACAAAGCUAGAAUUGUCGCAAAAGGUUUUCGACAAGUUCAAGGUGUUGACUACGAUGAGAGUUUCUCACUCGUAUCUAUGCUUAAGUCUAUCCGAAUCAUGUUAGCAAUUGCCGCAUUUUAUGAAAUCUGGCAAAUGGAUAAACAAAACUGCAUUCCUUAAUGGAUUUAUUAAAGAAGAGUUGUAUAUGAUGCAACCAGAAGGUUUUGUCGAUCCUAAAGGUGUUAACAAAAUGUGCAAGCUCCAGUGAUCCAUCUAUGGACUGGUGCAAGCAUCUCGGAGUUGGAAUAUACGCUUUGAUGAGUUGAUCAAAGCAUAUAGUUUUAUACAGACUUACGGUGAAGCCUAUAUUCACAAAAAAGUGAGUGGGAGCACUACAACAUUUCUGAUAAGUAUAUGUGAAUGACAUAUUGUUGAUCGGAAAUAAUGUAGAAUUAUUCUGCAAAGCAUAAAGGAGUGUUUGAAAGGAUUUUUUCAAAGAAAGACCUCGGUGAAGCUGCUUACAUAUUGAGCAUCAAGAUCUAUAGAGAUAGGUCAAAACGCUUGAUAAGUUUUUUCAAUGAGUACAUACCUUGACAAGAUUUUGAAGUAGUUCAAAAUGGAACAGUCAAAGAAAGAGUUCUUGCCUGUGUUACAAGGUGUGAAAUUGAGUAAGACUCAAAGCCCGACCACGGCAGAAAAUAGAAAGAGAAUGAAAGUCAUUCCCUAUGCCUCAGCUAUAGGUUCUAUAAAGUAUGCCAUGCUAUGUACCAAAUCUAUUAUAUACCCUACACUGAUUUUGGCAAGGGAGUACAAUAGUGAUCUAGGAGUAGAUCACUGGACAACGGUCAAAAUUAUCCUUAGUGGAAUAAGGAUAUGUUUCUCGAUUAUGGAGGUGACAAAAGGUUCGUCGUAAAGGGUUACGUCGAUACAAGUUUUGGCACUGAUCCAGAUGACUCUAAGUCUUCAUCUGGAUACAUAUUGAAAGUGGGAGCAAUUAGCUAAAGUAUCUCCGUGCAGAGCAUUGUAGACAUAGAAAUUUGCAAAAUACAUACGGAUCUGAAUAUGGCAGACCUGUUGACUAAAUUUCUCUCACAAGCAAAACAUGAUCACACCUUACUACUUUUUGGGUGUUAAUCACAUAGCGACGUGAACUAGAUUAUUGACUCUAGUAAACCCUUUGGGUGUUGGUCACAUGACGAUGUGAACUAUGGGUGUUAAUCACAUGGUGAUGUGAAAUAUUGAUGUUAAAUCACAUGGCGAUGUGAUCUAGAUUAUUGACUCUAGUGCAAGUGGGAGACUGAAGGAAAUAUGCCCUAGAGGCAAUAAUAAAGUUAUUAUUUAUUUCCUUAUUUCAUGAUAAAUGUUUAUUAUUCAUGCUAGAAUUGUAUUAACCGGAAACAUAAUACUUGUGUGAAUACAUAGACAAACAGAGUGUCACUAGUAUGCCUCUACUUGACUAGCUCGUUGAUCAAAGAUGGUUAUGUUUCCUAGCCAUAGACAUGAGUUGUCAUUUGAUUAACGGGAUCACAUCAUUAGGAGAAUGAUGUGAUUGACUUGACCCAUUCCGUUAGCUUAGCAUUUGAUCGUUUAGUAUUCUGCUAUUGCUUUCUUCAUGACUUAUACAUGUUCCUAUGACUAUGAGAUUAUGCAACUCCCGUUUACCGGAGGAACACUUUGUGUGCUACCAAACGUCACAACGUAACUGGGUGAUUAUAAAGGUGCUCUACAGGUGUCUCCGAAGGUACUUGUUGGGUUGGCGUAUUUCGAGAUUAGGAUUUGUCACUCCGAUUGUCGGAGAGGUAUAUCUGGGCCCACUCAGUAAUGCACAUCACUAUAAGCCUUGCAAGCAUUGUAAGUAAUGAGUUAGUUGCGGGAUGAUGUAUUACGGAACAAGUAAAGAGACUUCCCGGUAACGAGAUUGAACUAGGUAUUGAGAUAUCGACGAUCGAAUCUCGGGCAAGUAACAUACCGAUGACAAAGGGAACAAUGUAUGUUGUUAUGCGGUUUGACCGAUAAAGAUCUUCAUAGAAUAUGUGGGAGCCAAUAUGAGCAUCCAGGUUCCGCUAUUGGUUAUUGACCAGAGACGUGUCUCGGUCAUGUCUACAUUGUUCUCGAACCCGUAGGGUCCGUACGCUUAAAGUUCGAUGACGGUUAUAUUAUGAAUUUAUGUGUUUUGAUGUACCGAAGGUAGUCCGGAGUUCCGGAUGAGAUCGGGGACAUGACGAGGAGUCUCGAAAUGGUCGAGACGUAAAGAUCGAUAUAUUGGACGACUAUAUUCGGACAUCGGAAAGGUUCUGAGUGAUUCGGGUAUUUUUCGGAGUACCGGAGAGUUACGGGAAUUCGUCGGGGAGUAUAUGGGCCUUAUUGGACUUUAGGGGAAAGAGAGAGAGUAGAGGUUGGGCGCCCCCCAAGGCCUAGUCCGAAUUGGACUAGGGGGAGGGGCUGCGCCCCCUCCUUCCUUCUCUUCUCUCUCCCCUUUCCUUGACUCCUACUCCUACUACUAGGAAAGAGGGGGGAAUCCUACUUGGAGUAGGAUUGCCCCCCUUGGGCGCGCCUCCUCCCCUUGGCCGGCCCUCUCCUCCUCCCCUCUCCCUUUAUAUACGGAGGAGGGGGGCACCCCAUAGACACAACAAUUGAUCUCUUGAUCUCUUAGCCGUGUGCGGUGCCCCCCUCCACCAUAAUCCACCUCGAUAAUAUCGUAGCGGUGCUUAGGCGAAGCCCUGCGUCGGUAGAGCAUCAUCAUCGUCACCACGCCGUCGUGCUGACGGAACUCUCCCUCAAAGCUCGGCUGGAUCGGAGUUCGAGGGACGUCAUCGAGUUGAACAUGUGCAGAACUCGGAGGUGCCGUGCGUUUGGUACUUGAUCGGUCGGAUCGUGAAGAUGUACGACUACAUCAACCGCGUUGUGCUAACGCUUCCGCUUUCAGUCUACGAGGGUACGUGUACAACACCCUCCCCUCUCGUUGCUAUGCAUCACCAUGAUCUUGCGUGUGCGUAGGAUUUUUUUUGAAAUUACUACGUUCCCCAACACCGGGCGUCUGCGAGGUGGAAUCCGGGCCCUUGGACAACUCAUGCCCAGUAGCCUCCUCUCGCGCAUCCGUAUUACCCGAUCCAUCAUCCUUAUCAUGCAUAUCCACAUCCGUCCCUGCCAGAGCCUCAACAAAGAGAUCUAUAUCCUCAAACUCAAUCUCAAGGUUAAACACCUGGCCCCAAUAAGUCCACUUAACCACAUCAGGCACGAACUCAAUGUCUAGGACACUCACCAACAGUCGGGCCACCUCGUUAGCUCUGGUGAAGGCCAUAUCCACCCUCUCUAUCUUCCCGACCAAUAUCCCCAAACUAGCAACAACCCGAGCAUCCUGAAGCGGCUUUGAUGGAGCCCGUGAGAAUCGUAGCCAUACCUGAGUGAGAGGCUUGCCCUGUGGCUCUACCUUCUUCCACUCAUGGAACUCGAGGAUGCACUGUGUGCCAGGUACUCUGCAUAACCCAAAACUCAGAAGACGCUCCAAAUCCUCUGAAGUGGGAAAAUCAACCUUAAAUGUAUUAGCCUCGAGACGAGUAAGCUCCCACUGAAAAUCAUCUGGGGCUAACUCACUGAGCCUGUGCAUAAUCUGUGCCUCAGAAACAUCACCUUUCGUGGCUUUGACAAUUCCCGCGGUCGUGCUCUGGGGUUCCUCAGGGAUCUCCCUCGCACUGGGAGACUCAAAAAACAUCAGCUCAGCACAAUAGAUUCCAUAAAUGGUAAUACUCGGCAUCUAAUCACGCAGAACCGGGCACUCCCCCGUGUCAUGUGCAGGCUUGAGGCAGGUAUCACAAAGCUCAGUCACACAUUCAGCAAAAGUGGCCCCUCUCACCACAGCGAUAACAUAACAUCUUCUCCUUUUUACGAGCCCACUUGGAGGCUCUAUCCACAUCAGACAUGUCAGCGGCACCGACAGCACCUGCUCCCAGGGCUCAGUCGCAGGCACCUCAGCAUUAGCCAGCGCGGUCACCACCUCCAUAGCCUGACCGGACAACUCCCGCGUCUGACCAGUAGCAUCCACCUCCGAAGAUGUCGUCGGCUCCACCACGAUAGGCGGAGGAGGUUGGCGGUAGCGGUUCCUACCACCGCGACCUCCACGAUGACCUCGGUAGCCACCUCGCUGCCGGUGAUCUGGGCCAGAUGCCCCCUCGACAAAACCCCCCGGGGGGCCAUAAAAAGGUCUUUCAGCUGAACCAUCACUCUGCCAAGCGUAGCCGCGCCCGCCGCCUGCCGACGACGAGCCGCGAUGUUGGCCAUCCCCGUAAGCGUUGUAUCCAUCAUCACCCCAUUGACCCCUAGGUGGUCCAUUACCGCCGCGGUCAACCGGUAACCGAGCAACAUCCACACUACCAUCGCCCACAUGCACGGGCUGAGGCGGCGUAACGUGAGUCUGCACCGGGACGGAACGAUGAGUCUGAGAGCCAAAGCGCCUCCCUCAUAGUCCUGGUCAGUACUUUAUUUUGGAGAUAGUCCCACAGCCCACCCACCUACCUUUGGGUUGUAUACCUUACUCCUAGUCCUGUCAUGUAAGGUGUACAAAACAUUGACACCCAUAUAUACCAUACUUCUUCUUCACUCUUCUACUUAGCGAUACAUCCUCAUGCAUGCGACUCUCUUUCCCACCCAAACACAAUGCUAGAUAUUGCUUGACAUGUUUGUAUCCUGAUCACACAUAGAAAUGAAAGGUGCCGGGAAUUUUUCAACAAUACCGAAUCUUGCUGACGCUACCAUAUUAUUUUUCAGCAUUUCUUCUGAUGGGGUUCGAGGUAGCACGAUAUGCACAAGUCGUAGCUCCUCGGACUUCACGGAGUUCAAGAAGCUUCAUGGAUUGCGUUGCGCUGAAGCAGUUCAGUCCUAGGCUAUCCUAAUGCCAUGAGCAUGGCCGAUGACUAGGUUAAAAGACAACCCUUCAGGGACGCGAGUUGAGAAAAUUUGCACAUCGUCCAACCAAUGGCAUUUGUGUAUACAUUGGUUUCGACGUGUUGUAGUUUAAGCUGUCAAGUGUGUGGCUGAGUUAAAGACUCUUUGUAGCGUAAGAAGUAGCUGCCGUUUGGCCAGAAACGCCCACGAUAGAAAAAGGAACAACCCCAGGAACUUUCCCACACACGCGUCAGUCUAUUGUAAAUCACCGGAAGAAGAGAAAAGAAAAAAACACACAAGAAAUUCUAAACCCUUGCAGACCUAAAGUCUUAGUUAUUUUGAAAGGUCAUUAUUUGGAUUUGAUAAUGGAGGAUACACGCAGAACAUUCUUCCACGUGGCAAAGCACACUAAACACCUGUAGUUUUUUUAGAUCUUGGAAAAAUCAUGUAUUGUCAGAGGGCAAAUUAUAGAGCACUAAACUUAUUUCCUUUACACGUUACAAAAAUUGACUCUCUCUCAUGAACAGUUAGACUUGAUUGAUAUGACUAAUCGUUUGUAAAUAUUUAUUCUGAACCUCUUGUUUUCCAAGUAUUCUUCGAUGUUCUCUCACACUAAUUGUUACACAUACUUCAUUCAUCAAAUUUAAAAAUAAAAGAUAAUACGUGGUGAUGUGGUCACGUACCGAAAAUCAUUGAUGCAUAGUCCUGCUCACUUUAUUUUGGGGAUACUCCCAUAGCCCACUCACCUACUUUUGUGUUGUAUAUCUUACUCCUGGUCAUGUCAUGGAAGAUGUACUCCCUUUGUUCACUUUUAUAAGACGUUUUAGGCAGCUGAAAUUGAAUUGUUUUGGGUGUUGUCUUAAAUGUAUAGACGGUCUUACAAGAGUGAACGGAGGGAGUACAAAACAAAGACACUCAUAUAUACCAUACUUUUUCACUCUUCUACUUAGCGAUCGAUCCAUAUGCGACCCUCCUUCCAAGCCAAACACAAUGCUAGAUAUUCCUUGACAUGUUUGUAUCCUGAUCCAACAUAGAAAUGAAAGGUGUCGGGAAUAUUUCAACAACAUCCAAUCCUGCUAAUGCAACCAAAUUAUUUCUCAGCAUUUCUUAUGCUAGGAUUCGAGGUACGAUGAUCUACUGAUGUUGUAGCUGCUCAGAUUUUUACAGAGCUCAAGCAUCUUGGACUGUGUAACCUAAUCAGCAACUCGUGGCUAUGUCAACCCCUUCACGAGCUACGAUCUGGUUUACACCGGCGCCUUCAAGUAAAUUAGAGACGCGAGUUGAGAAGGUUUGCAUGUUAUCCAACCAGGAUUAGUGGCCCCGAGUGGAUAGCUAAUAGCCAAUGGCAUUCGUGUAUGCAUUGGUUUCGACGUGUUGUAGUUCUAGCUACCGGGUGUGUGGCUGAGUUCAAGACUCCUGUAGCGUAAAACGUAUAUGUCAUUUGGCCAAUCCGUAACAAACUCUAAAUUUGACUACUAUCCCUUUUGUUGUCCAACCACUACUGUUGUCGUGCCUAAACUCUGUUCUUUUCUAGUCUCUUGUUUUAUCUAUUUCUUUCCUAAGUGCUACUACUUGCGUCCCACUGCUGCUAUGUGUCCAGGUUCAUAUCACCCAGCUUUCUUUCCACAGUGCUUCAUUCAACCAAUGUCUUUUAUUUCAUUUUCAGGAUUGAUUAAACCAGUUGGUUUUGCUUGGGGCCGCACUUGAUACUUAGUCCAGAUUUAGAGAGGGAAAAGGUUCUGAAUUCUUCUUGGGAAACUUUUUUAUUUUGAGGAAUUUCUUGGAUAACUUUAGAAUCACAUGCCUCUGUAUGUAUAUCUCCUGGAUUGGCAAUGUAGUACACGUUUCGUCCUCUCGUCACCAUUCAUAAAUGUCCCAUUGUCGGCAGAGCAAAACACAUACCCAAAGCACAUACUUGUGCUUGACGUCCUUCAAGCACAUACUUGUGGCAGCUCCGUGUUCAAAACACACAUGGCACCAUAGCAAUCCUUCUAUUCGAGAAAAGCAAGCGGCACCGAGAAUUUGCCACUUUCCUUUUCUUUUUGAGGACUACUUACAAAUAAAAUUUUGACUUGAUGUAGGCUGAAGGUGCUGCCCAUCAGUUUCUCCCAACGAUCAUUCACUGGAUUUUAUACAACAUCCACCUUUGAAAUUUGACUGAACUUGCUGUUUUGCGUGGCACGAUUCAAGACGGUCAUUUUGGUUGCACAGGAAAUUUCGAAACCGCAUGGAAUAAAAUUAGCAACCUAGUUCUAGCAUUGCCGAUGUUUCUGAAACCCAUUUCAUUUCUCCUGUCUUCUAAGCAGUACAUUUUAUUUGGUUAUAUAGCUUUUAGGGCAUAUAAUCUGCAUAAAAGAGGCAA